UAAUACGUAGGGUGCUAGCGUUGUUCGGAAUCAUUGGGCGUAAAGCGCGUGUAGGCGGUUAGGUAAGUCGGGUGUGAAAUCCCUGGGCUCAACCGAGGAAGUGCAUUCGAAACUACCUAGCUGGAAGACGGUAGAGGGAGGUGGAAUUCCAAGUGUAGAGGUGAAAUUCGUAGAUAUUUGGAGGAAUACCGGUGGCGAAGGCGGCCUCCUGGACCGUUCUUGACGCUGAGACGCGAAAGCGUGGGGAGCAAACAGGAUUAGAUACCCUGGUAGUCCACGCUGUAAACGAUGGGUACUAGAUGUUGCAGGAAUUGACCCCUGCAGUGUCGACGCUAACGCAUUAAGUACCCCGCCUGGGAAGUACGGCCGCAAGGUU
rnacentral:rRNA from 1 species